rnacentral:rRNA from 1 species
UACGUAGGGACCGAGCGUUGUCCGGAAUCAUUGGGCGUAAAGAGCGUGUAGGCGGCCACUUAAGUCCUGCGUGAAAUCUUGCGGCUCAACCGCAAGCGGUCGUGGGAAACUGGGUGGCUAGAGUGCGGGAGAGGAGAGUGGAAUUCCUGGUGUAGCGGUGGAAUGCGCAGAUAUCAGGAAGAACACCCGUGGCGAAGGCGGCUCUCUGGAACGCAACUGACGCUGAGACGCGAAAGCCAGGGGAGCGAACGGG